rnacentral:rRNA from 1 species
UCUUCCCUCUUUCUUCGUGCUUAACACAUGCAAGUCGAACGGAAAGGCCACAGCUUGCUGUGGUACUCGAGUGGCGAACGGGUGAGUAACACGUGGGUGAUCUGCCCUGUACUUCGGGAUAAGCUUGGGAAACUGGGUCUAAUACCGGAUAGGAAUCACAUGUGGGUGUGUGGUUGGAAAGCUUUUGCGGUAUGGGAUGAGCUCGCGGCCUAUCAGCUUGUUGGUGGGGUAAUGGCCUACCAAGGCGUCGACGGGUAGCCGGCCUGAGAGGGUGUACGGCCACAUUGGGACUGAGAUGCGGCCCAGACUCCUACGGGAGGCAGCAGUGGGGAAUAUUGCACAAUGGGCGCAAGCCUGAUGCAGCGACGCCGCGUGGGGGAUGACGGCCUUCGGGUUGUAAACUCCUUUCGUCAGGGACGAAGCGAAAGUGACGGUACCUGGAGAAGAAGCACCGGCUAACUACGUG